GACGAACGCUGGCGGCGUGCCUAACACAUGCAAGUCGAACGGACAGGCCCUGCUUUUGCGGGGUGCUCGAGUGGCGAACGGGUGAGUAACACGUGAGUAACCCGCCCCUGACUUUGGGAUAACUUCAGGAAACUGGGGCUAAUACCGGAUAGGAUCUCUUGCUGCAUGGUGGUGGUUGGAGAGUUUCGGCGGUUGGGGAUGGACUCGCGGCUUAUCGGCUUGAUGGUGGGGUAGUGGCUUUCCAAGGCUUUGAGGGAUAGCCGGCCUGAGAGGGGAAACGGGGACAUUGGGACUGAGAUACGGCCCAGACUGCUACGGGAGGCAGCAGUGGGGAAUAUUGCGCAGCAGGCGGAAGCCAGAGGCAGCGGCGCCCGGUGCGGGAUGACGGCCUACGGGUUGUAAACAGCUUUCGCCUGUGACGAAGCGGGAGUGACGGUAAUGGGUAAAGAAGCACCGGCUAACUACGUG
rnacentral:rRNA from 1 species